CACAGAGCCUAUAUAAAAAUAUGCAGUAUUAUAGAUGACCAAGGAACAGGGGCUGGAAGAACAUAAAACUAUUCUGCCACAGUGAUGGACCUGCAAUUGGCAAGUUACUCAUGGGGUCGUGCUCCAGAGAGGAGGCUCUGCAGCAAGGGGCAGAGGUUGGCUGUCAGCUUGUCUCCAGUGGCAAGUCUGGAUCUGCCUGCUUGAGAGAAGACAAGCCCUUCUGCCGGAACGGGGAUGGCAUCCACAUACCCAUCUCACAGAAGGUUGGUUCCCUGGAUCUAACCUGGUGCUUACGGACUGUGUGCUGCUUCCACAAGGACCCACUCCUAGUCAGGGAAAUGUAUAAGGAAAUAGGGAGCUGGAUUCCCAGGGGAACAACAGCAGGAGCUUACAGUACUCAGUGCCCUGACUCAGAGUUUUAGAUAGUUCUGACAACUUUACAGCAAGAUUAUAUCACUCGUUUGUUCAUGACAUCAGACUCUAAUGACAAUGGGUGUGCCUAGCCAAUCAACUUUGUGUGUGUGUCCAUGUUCAUGUGUGUCUAUAUGGGCAUGGGUACACAUGGGUACAUAUGCAUGAGAAGUCAGAGGUCAAUAUUGGGUGUCUUUGUCUGACAUUUCUCCAGCUUAUGAUUUGAGACAGGGUCUGUCAUUGAACCUGGAGCUCACCAGUUUGGCUAGCAUGGCUGGCUAGGAAGCCCAGAGUGUCCUCCUACUUCUGUUUCCACUGCACUGAGUCUACAGUACUCACUACAUGCUCACCUUGUAGUGUGGGUCCUGAGUAUCUGAACUCAGUUCCUAAAGCUGAGCAAGCAUUUUGCUGACCGAGUCAUUUCCCCAGGCAUCUACUCAGUCAACCUUAAAAGGGGUACCUGAAUGCAGAAGCAUCUGAUUU